GCUUGCCUCUCCGAGAUGGACUUUUGGAUCCUUUCCAACGCAGCCUGUACCUCUUGGGUGAGCGACCUAGGAGAAUUGAGCUCCUCUCCCCCUUUCAACAAAUUGAAAAGGGGGGCCAGGUCUUCGGUGGGAAUGCCUAGCCAAGCCCUCACCCAAUUCAGAGACCCACACAGCUGCUGGGCAUCAGAAAGCGUUUGAAUGGAAUUCCGAAUUUUAAUUUUUUGUGGUGUGAUAGUUGUUUUGCUAAUUGUAAGACCUAGAUACUUCCAGGGUGGCAUUCUUUGAAUUUUGUCCUGCUGCAACUCGAACCCUGCAGCAACCAAUGCACUGAUUGUUAGGUCAAGACUGUGAGCAAGUUCGUCAUCAGUUGGAGCACAGACGAGGAUGUCAUCCACGUAAUGAAAAAUUGUAGCGUUGGUUGCCUUUGCCCUGACUGAUGAGAGCAAGGAAGAGACAUACCACUGGCAUAUAACUGGACUGUUCUUCAUGCCCUGGGGCAAAACUGUCCAGUGGUAGCGCCUCCUAGGGGCCUCUCGGUUGAUGGUAGGAACCGAGAAAGCAAAACGCGGAGCAUCGUCGGGGUGUAGGGGAAUUUGGAAAAAGCAGUCUUUUAUGUCAAUUACAGCUAAAUUCCAAUUUUGGGGAAGCAUUGUCGGGGAGGGCAUCCCUGGUUGGAGGGGACCCAUGUCUUUGAUGACGUUGUUAAUUUGUCGAAGGUCGUGAAGGAGCCGCCACUUCUCUUUAUUAGGUUUCUUUAUGACAAACACUGGGGAGUUCCAUGGAGACGUGGUCUCCACCAGGUGGCCUCGCUGCAGCUGUUCCUCCACGAGCUCCUCGAGCGCCUUUAAUUUCUGUUUUGAAAGCGGCCACUGUUCUACCCAGACAGGUGUGUCAGUCAGCCAAUUCAGUUUCUGGGUUGGGCGCUCCUCAGUGACCGCUGCCCCAAAAACCUGGGGAGCCGCUGAUUGUUUCGCCAAUUGGAUCCCUCCUACACCUCGGAUCCGUUCUGCUGCGUCCUGCAACUCCCAAUGUGACGGCCAAUCCUGUGAGGGAAUGACUGUGACAUCUGCUCCAGUGUCCAGAAGCCCGUGAACGAGCUUCUGGUCUCCACCUUUCUGUAGGCUGCAGGUGAUUCUUGGUUUUUCUUUGCCUAGGGCCUGAGCCCAAGCCACCGAUGGGAGGUGUGAGGAUGUGGAUGUUUUGGGUGGCUCGGAGUCCCAGGGCCCCUCAGGGAUAGGAAUGGCUUGCGCCACAACUUGGCCCCGAGGCAGAAAGGUGGGAGGGCUGGCACAAUACAUGGCUACUGCGAAUGUUCCCGGGUCUGAUGAUAUGAGACCCGGGAUGAUGUGAAUGUCUUGUGGUGUUGAUUUGGAAUCUCCAACCGUGACGAACCUACCCUUGGUCCGAUGCCAGGUACCUGGGCACUCCGGGCUGACGGAGACGAGGUGGAUAUUUGAGUCAAUAAGAUGGAGUGGCUCCGUCAACUGCAACCGAAAGGGGAUCGUCCUGGAGGUGGUUGUUAGGACUGGCCGAGGCACCUCCUGAAAAAGAUCAGAAAUAGGUCUGUCGCAGCUACCCUCCGAGCCGGAGCCCUGGGUUGCUUGUCGAGCUCCUCUGCGAUGAUUGCGACUUUGCGGUCGCAGACGUCUAG